rnacentral:rRNA from 1 species
UACAGAGGGUGCGAGCGUUGUUCGGAAUUAUUGGGCGUAAAGCGCAUGUAGGCGGGUUGUUAAGUCGCGUGUGAAAGCCCCAGGCUCAACCUGGGAAGUGCGCACGGAACUGGCGACCUUGAGUGCUGGAGAGGGUGGCGGAAUUCCCGGUGUAGAGGUGAAAUUCGUAGAUAUCGGGAGGAACACCAGAGGCGAAGGCGGCCACCUGGACAGACACUGACGCUGAGACGCGAAAGCGUGGGGAGCAAACAGG